rnacentral:rRNA from 1 species
CCUACGGGAGGCAGCAGUGGGGAAUUUUCCGCAAUGGGCGAAAGCCUGACGGAGCAGUACCGCGUGAGGGAAGACGGCCUAUGGGUUGUAAACCUCUUUUUUCAGGGAGGAAUCAAUGACGUGUACCUGAAGAAUAAGCAUCGGCUAACUCCGUGCCAGCAGCCGCGGUAAGACGGAGGAUGCAAGUGUUAUCCGGAAUCACUGGGCGUAAAGCGUCUGUAGGUGGUUAAACAAGUCAACUGUUAAAUCUUGAGGCUUAACUUCAAAAUCGCAGUCGAAACUGUUUGACUAGAGUAUAGUAGGGGUAAAGGGAAUUUCCAGUGGAGCGGUGAAAUGCGUAGAUAUUGGAAAGAACACCGAUGGCGAAGGCACUUUACUGGGCUAUUACUGACACUCAGAGACGAAAGCUAGGGUAGCAAAUGGGAUUAGAUACCCCAGUAGUCCUAGCCGUAAACAAUGGAUACUAGAUGUUGGGCAGAUCGACCUGUUCAGUAUUAAAGCUAACGCGUUAAGUAUCCCGCCUGGGAAGUAUGCGCGCAAGCGUGAAACUCAAAGGAAUUGACGG